GCCGUGGUGGUUCAGUGGCAAAAUUCUCACCUUCCAUGUGGAAAACCAGGGUUCAAUUCCCUGCCAAUGGCC
rnacentral:tRNA from 1 species